AGCCGGAAUCGCUAGUAAUCGCGGAUCAGAAUGCCGCGGUGAAUACGUUCCCGGGCCUUGUACACACCGCCCGUCACACCAUGAGAGUCGGGGACACCCGAAGCCUGUAGCGUAACCGCGAGGGGUGCGCAGUCGAAGGUGGAUUCGAUGAUUGGGGUGAAGUCGUAACAAGGUACC
rnacentral:rRNA from 1 species